rnacentral:lncRNA from 1 species
UAUAAGCAAUCAUGCAUAUAAGAGAUCAAAGAAGACUCAAAUAUCUUUCAUGGAUAAAAACAUAGAUCUGAUCAUGAACUCAAAGUUCAUCGGAUUCCAACAAACACACCGCCAAAAGACUUACAUCAUAUGGGUCUGCAAGAGACCAUUGUAUUGAUAAUAAAGAGAGAGAGAGGAAGCCAUCUAGCUACUAACUACGGACCUGUAGGUCUACAAAGAACUACUCACGCAUCAUAGGAGAGGCACCAAUGGAAGUGGUGAACCCCUCCAUGACGGUGUCUAGAUUGGAUCUGGUGGUUCUGGACUCUGCGGCGGCUGGAUCAAUAUUUCGUCGACUCCCUUAGGGUUUCAGGAAUAUUUGGGUAUUUAUAGAGCAAAGAGGCGGUUCAGGGGGCACCCGUGGUGGGCACAACCCCCCAAGGCGCGCCUGGGCCUCCUGGCACGCCCUGGUGGGUGCUGCUCCCCUCGAGCAGCCCCUGAGGUGCUUGCUUGGCCCAUUGGCUUUCUUCUGGCCAAAAAAAUCCUCCAGGAGUUGCGUUGCAUUUGGACUCCGUUUGAUACUGAUUUCCUGCAAUGUAAAAAACAUGCAGAAAACAGCAACUGGCACUAGGCACUAUGUCAAUACGUUAGUACCAAAAAAUGAUAUAAAAUGACUAUAAAAUGAUUGUAAAACAUCCAAGAGUGAUAAUAUAACAGUAUGGAACAAUCAAAAAUUAUAGAUACGUUGGAGACGUAUCAUGGGCUUCCUCAAGUUCCCCUAGGUCUUCGUGAGCAAGCGAGUUGGAUGCACACCCACUUAGUUUCCUUUUGAGCUUUCAUAAACUUAUAGCUCUAGUGCAUUCGUUGCAUGGAAUUCCCUAUUCACUCACAUUGAUAUCUAUUGAUGGGCAUCUCCGUAGCCUAUAGAUACGCCUAGUUGAUGUGAGACUAUCUCCCUCUUUUUAUCUUCUCCACAACCACCAUAUUCUAGUCCACCUAUAGUGCUAUGUCCAUCGCUUACGCUCAUGUAUUGCAUGAAAGUUGAAAAAGUUUGAGAACACCUAAAGUAUGAAACAAUUGCCUGGCUGUGGCACCCCCGCUCAGAGAAAACUGGUAUGCCCCGUAUUCCAGCCCAGAGAUCAAGGAGAAGUCGUCUGGAAUACGACACUGCUUAGCAAACCAGCUCUUUAUUACAAUCUAUUUGGGUACAAGGGUUCCGACAUAAUAGGGAAUUACAUCGGCAUGGCGACACUACGCCUGCCACUGUUACUCUAUGCAAGCAGCAAAACAACUCGAAGCAGCGGAAUAACUCUAGUAGUGGAAUAACGGCGACGGUGGUGAACUCCACUCCGUAGGGACUCUGACUGGAACGCUUAUCCUAGCUCGCAAACAAGGAAUCCACGGCAAACAAGCAAUCAAGUCCGGCAUGACCUGCAAACUGGCAUGACACGCCAGGUUAGUACAUUGAAUGUACUUGCAAGCUCACAAUAACCAGAAGCAUUCAAGACAAACAACAACAUGGCAAUUACAGGUUACGCAUAAAUUAACAUGAUAUCAUCAUAGCAACAUGGCAUGAACAACAUGAACAUGAUACAACUAGCAUAACAUGAUCAUGUCAAGAACAUAUGAAUCUAAGGAUACUAGCAUGCAACAUGAUGACACUAUCAUGCACCAACUUACUCUGUUCGGGUUACCUCGUAACCAUCACAUGCAUCACUUACCAACCUCGGACAUCACACGAUCAUCUCAGGAUCAAAACAAGCUUGCUAUAAACAAUACCAUAGUAAUCAUUACAUGACCACAAGGAGCUUGAUCUUUACCCACGAUUCUCGCACAAAUAUCCAACAACUCGGUAUCCUCGACGCCACAGUGAUCAUUCACCGAACCACACUUGGUUCAACGGGCUGCCUCGUAACCCAACGAUAAUCAAUCACGGAUCACAUAUCCAACUUAUCUCAUCAUUGAACUUGGGUUGUUAUUAAGCACAUUAUUAUUAUUAUUACUGUUGACCCAUAGUGUGACCAACUACGAACUGGGCCCUUAUCCGCGGGUGCGGUUAUCGAUAGAUUUAGUAUACACUCUGCAGAGGUAGCGCACUGUACCCAGACCACGGAACCCAUGGCCUCGCGCUCCCAUUCGGGUGGACCAACGACAUUCCGACAAAACCGUCCUACUGCCAUGACAUUUUUUUGGCCACUCCGACUCACUCCCCACUAGGCUAAGUCAUGGGUGGCCCCGUGCCUACCAAAGGCACCAACGGCCACCAUCGUGGCAAAACGGCCACCAUCGUGGCAAAACAAAAAUGGUCCCAAACGGGGACAAGCCGUCUAUAACAACUAUGGGCACAGGGCUUAUGUCCGCCUACCUGAUCAGGGUAGCGCGUGCCCAAAACCUUCCCUCGUGGGAGGCACCGGCUAGAGGCACGACAAUAGACCCAGUUAGGACCCUCCCAUAAAGGCAAGUGUGGUUGCACUGGUCAGCUCGAUAUGGUGGGCCCAUGACUCAGCCAACAGUUGUUCAAGUUCAAUUAAGUCCGGUUAAACUUGAAUGCAAUAAGCUAAGCCAUAUUAAAAUAACAUGAUGCAACUACAAUGCAUGAGCACGGAUCAACAUAAGUAGGGAAGUACAACAUAAUCAUCGAGCAUAACCAUAAUGAAACAUUAACCAAAUGAGCAUGGCAAACUGACGAGCAUAACAUUACACAUGAACAUGCCAUGAUCACUAGCAUCAUAAAUAAAUACCAUGCAAGAACUCAUUCAGAAAACUACCAAGGAAGCAUAUAACCAACUAGAUACAAAGUAACAUGCAUAGCUACGGCACUAGAUAAAAGAUCGUAAACAUGCAUUUGAAAGAACACACUGCCAGUACUACCAAGCAUGACAUAUAACAAUAAUACUAGUAAUAAGUGCAAGAUAACAAGAUGAAGAAGAGCAUAGCAUGAAAGUGAACACACAUCUCUAAGCAUCACCGAAACAACGAUAACCAUAUCGAAACAAGCAAACAUUUAUCAUUCAAGUUGAAAACCAUAGCUACUGCAUGACUAUCAUGCAAGUGGUUGUUGUGGCUUGCCUGGGGAUGAAGAAGGCACCGGGGAGAACUGCGGUGAAGCCGUGGAAAGAUUUGCCAGAAAUAGUUAUCUCCUAGAGGGGGCUGUUUACGUGCAAGGGAAAAAUGGUAAUUUUCAGAAUGUUAACACAUGGUGAAACUGUGACCAACGGGACAAGCUCGACGAGACGAAGAAAUGGGCUUUGGAAUCACCUCUUUUGGAGUUGCAAGCAAAAAGUUAUAGCCUGACGAAGUCCAGGGACCAAUCUAUAAAAAUAUUUCUGCAAACAGGCCCCUGAGCUGAAAAACAGAAAGCACAUUUAGUUGAAUACGCCUUCUUAGCAGAUAAGACGUAUUUCCAGCCGUAGUGAAGUGAAAAUACGCUUUCCCGAAAGCAAAACGCAUUUCCAACCGAACUAGGACUAAAGUACGCUUUCCCUGAAUGAAUACGUAUUCCAACAAAUGCGUUUCCACUUAUCCAUCUAGGUAAGCGCGGGGCCGGCUCGUGUGACACUAACGUGUGGGUCCCAUGGGUGGUGGGGGCCCGUCACUUAUCUACGCUGUACCGGGAGGGGUUAACGCCGUGUGGCUGACUGGUGGAGCCGAGGAAGUCGCAGGGCCCACCUGGCCUCAUCUUCUUCCUCCUCUCCCUGCCCCCGAUGGAAACAGAGGAGGGGGCAGGAGAGGGUGCUGCCGGCGAUGGGCCAGCCUGCCUUGGCCAGCUCCGGCCAGGCGGAGGCCACUGGAAGGCUCGGGCGUCCACGUCACGCCCAUCCAGAGGCACAUCCCACGCCAAGAAGGAGUGGGGAAGGCGGGGCUCACGGCAACAGAGAAACGGAGAGGCGGCGGCCUGACGGGGGAUUCGUGGCCUCGGAGGGUCCGACGACGAGCAGAGGGGAUGGAGAGGACCGCCGGAGAGUGGGGAAGGUGGUGGAGUGGCUAGAGGUGGAGGAGGAGCUCGGCAUGGGGCCAAUUUAGGCCGAAGCCGCGGCGGCCAUGGCGGCCAUGG